rnacentral:rRNA from 1 species
UACGGGGGGGGCAAGCGUUGUUCGGAAUUACUGGGCGUAAAGGGCUCGUAGGCGGCCAACUAAGUCAGACGUGAAAUCCCUCGGCUUAACCGGGGAACUGCGUCUGAUACUGGAUGGCUUGAGUUUGGGAGAGGGAUGCGGAAUUCCAGGUGUAGCGGUGAAAUGCGUAGAUAUCUGGAGGAACACCGGUGGCGAAGGCGGCAGCCUGGACCAACACUGACGCUGAGUGAGCGAAAGCCAGGGGAGCAAACGGG